rnacentral:rRNA from 1 species
UGCAAGUCGAGCGGAACGACGGGAGCUUGCUCCCGGGCGUCGAGCGGCGGACGGGUGAGUAACGCAUAGGAAUCUGCCCGGUAGUGGGGGAUAACCUGGGGAAACUCAGGCUAAUACCGCAUACGUCCUACGGGAGAAAGCAGGGGACCUUCGGGCCUUGCGCUAUCGGAUGAGCCUAUGCCGGAUUAGCUGGUUGGUGAGGUAACGGCUCACCAAGGCGACGAUCCGUAGCUGGUCUGAGAGGAUGAUCAGCCACAUCGGGACUGAGACACGGCCCGAACUCCUACGGGAGGCAGCAGUGGGGAAUAUUGGACAAUGGGCGCAAGCCUGAUCCAGCCAUGCCGCGUGUGUGAAGAAGGCCCUCGGGUUGUAAAGCACUUUCAGUGGGGAAGAAGGCCUUUCGGUUAAUAGCCGGGAGGAGCGACAUCACCCACAGAAGAAGCACCGGCUAACUCCGUGCCAGCAGCCGCGGUAAUACGGAGGGUGCGAGCGUUAAUCGGAAUUACUGGGCGUAAAGCGCGCGUAGGCGGCGUGAUAAGCCGGUUGUGAAAGCCCCGGGCUCAACCUGGGAACGGCAUCCGGAACUGUCAGGCUAGAGUGCAGGAGAGGAAGGUAGAAUUCCCGGUGUAGCGGUGAAAUGCGUAGAGAUCGGGAGGAAUACCAGUGGCGAAGGCGGCCUUCUGGACUGACACUGACGCUGAGGUGCGAAAGCGUGGGUAGCAAACAGGAUUAGAUACCCUGGUAGUCCACGCCGUAAACGAUGUCGACUAGCC